rnacentral:tRNA from 1 species
GCCGAGGUGGCGGAAUUGGUAGACGCGCUGGCUUCAGGUGUCAGUAGGGGUAACCCUGUGGAGGUUCAAGUCCUCUCCUCGGCACCA